UACGUAGGGGGCAAGCGUUGUCCGGAUUCAUUGGGCGUAAAGCGCGCGUAGGCGGACCUGCAAGUCGGGGGUGAAAGCCCGAGGCUCAACCUCGGAACUGCCUUCGAUACUGCGGGUCUCGAGUCCGGGAGAGGUGAGUGGAAUUCCUAGUGUAGAGGUGAAAUUCGUAGAUAUUAGGAAGAACACCAGUGGCGAAGGCGGCUCACUGGCCCGGUACUGACGCUGAGGCGCGAAAGCGUGGGGAGCAAACAGG
rnacentral:rRNA from 1 species